AUACGGAGGGUCCGAGCGUUAUCCGGAAUCAUUGGGUUUAAAGGGUCCGUAGGCGGGAAUCUAAGUCAGUGGUGAAAUCUUGCAGCUCAACUGUAAAAUUGCCAUUGAUACUGGAUUUCUUGAAUUAGUGUGAAGUGGUUAGAAUGUGUAGUGUAGCGGUGAAAUGCAUAGAUAUUACACAGAAUACCAAUUGCGAAGGCAGAUCACUAACACUAUAUUGACGCUAAGGGACGAAAGCGUGGGGAGCGAACAGGAUUAGAUACCCGAGUAGUCC
rnacentral:rRNA from 1 species